CGGACGGGUGAGUAACGCGUGAGAAUCUGCCUCCAGGUCGGGGACAAACAGCGGGAAACUGCUGCUAAUCCCGGAUAAGCCCUAGGGUAAAAGAUUUUAUUGCCUGGAGAGGAGCUCGCGUCCGAUUAGCUAGAUGGUGAGGUAAGAGCUCACCAUGGCGACGAUCGGUAGCUGUUCUGAGAGGAAGAUCAGCCACACUGGGACUGAGACACGGCCCAGACUCCUACGGGAGGCAGCAGUGGGGAAUUUUCCGCAAUGGGCGAAAGCCUGACGGAGCAAGACCGCGUGCGGGAAGAAGGCCCUUGGGUCGUAAACCGCUUUUCUUAGGGAAGAAGCUCUGACGGUACCUAAGGAAUCAGCCUCGGCUAACUCCGUGCCAGCAGCCGCGGUAAUACGGAGGAGGCAAGCGUUAUCCGGAAUUAUUGGGCGUAAAGCGUCCGCAGGCGGCUUAUCAAGUUUGCUGUCAAAGACUGGGGCUCAACCCUGGGGAGGCAGUGGAAACUGAGAAGCUAGAGUGCAGUAGGGGUAGAGGGAAUUCCCAGUGUAGCGGUGAAAUGCGUAGAGAUUGGGAAGAACACCGGUGGCGAAAGCGCUCUACUGGGCUGUAAUUGCCGCUGAGGGACGAAAGCUAGGGGAGCGAAAGGGAUUAGAUACCCCGUAGU
rnacentral:rRNA from 1 species